rnacentral:tRNA from 1 species
UCUAUUUUGGCAGAAAAGUGCGAUGGAUUUAGAAUUCAUAUAUGUAAAUUAAUUACAAAUAGAA